rnacentral:rRNA from 1 species
UACAGAGGUCUCAAGCGUUGUUCGGAUUCAUUGGGCGUAAAGGGUGCGUAGGCGGUGAGGUAAGUCGGAUGUGAAAUCCCGGGGCUUAACUCCGAAACUGCAUUCGAUACUGCCGUGCUUGAGGACUGGAGAGGAGACUGGAAUUUACGGUGUAGCGGUGAAAUGCGUAGAUAUCGUAAGGAAGACCAGUGGCGAAGGCGGGUCUCUGGACAGUUCCUGACGCUGAGGCACGAAGGCCAGGGGAGCAAACGGG